CACCGAAGUCAAGCAUCAUUGGGCGCGGUCAGUACUUGGGUGGGUGACCACCUGGAAACACCGCGUGCCGUU